GACGGAGGGUGCAAACGUUGUUCGGAAUCACUGGGCGUAAAGGGCGCGCAGGCGGACUCGUAAGUCAGGAGUGAAAACUCGGGGCUCGACCCCGAGCCUGCUUCUGAAACUGCAAGUCUUGAGGACCGGAGAGGAAAGUGGAAUUCCCAGUGUAGCGGUGGAAUGCGUAGAUAUUGGGAAGAACACCAGUGGCGAAGGCGACUUUCUGGACGGUUCCUGACGCUGAGGCGCGAAAGCGUGGGGAGCAAACAGG
rnacentral:misc_RNA from 1 species